UUCUUUAACCCCAUUUUAUUUUUUCAGAAGUGAAUUUAUGUGAUGAGCUUUGCAGAUGUAUCAGCGAAGACAGCAUUUGUUCCACAGCCUUUUACUGAUGCACCAGUCCCCUGAGUGGAGAUGGACACACUAACUGUUGGCUUCUUCCCCCUGAAUCUUCACAUCCAGCACCAUAACCUUUGCUCUCUUGUUUCAAUGCCAGCAGACAGAAAACAUGGAAAAAGCUGAGAAGCUGAGGCUAGCUCAGUCCUUUCCUUCUCUGUGCUGUUCUCCAAGGAGCAAUCCGGAGCUCAGAGCAGUUCUUCUGAGGAAAGCCGUGUCCGUCUCUGAACUGGUUGCCAGGUACCAAAGCAUCCUGGACUGUGAUAGAAACAUGACUAAGCAAGAACAUCCCAAGGUGAGAGCCAAAGUGGGACAGGUUUUCCUAACGACAAAAUGUUCCAGUUCUUGGCAAUUAGAGACAAACCAAAACCUAACAUUUUUUACAAUAUCCAGUGCUGUUCUGAGGACACCCCAGAACAGGUUAGAUCCAAUUGUCUUUUAGUAGGUAAAGUUGGACUGGCAUAUAUGCUGGCAUAUAUUUUCCAUCCCAUGCUACAGGAUGGAAUGGAAAAUUAAUGUAUAACAUUCAGGUUGCUCUGAAGUGAGUACACUGCAGGGGUAGAGACCGUCAGCAGCUGUAGGACCUGGCAGAGGAUUUAGUACUGGUUAGAAAGUGAGAGAAGGAUCCAGCCUGAGGUAAAGGUACACAAAGUCAUUAAGGCACCCACUGGGCUGGCAGGGAUGACACUGAGGCAUCUCUGCCCUCCUGCACCACCAGCUGGAGGUUUUUUGAGGUUGCCCUGUGUGUUUCAAAUGACACCUACCAAAGAAAGUGGGUGAUUGUGUCAUUCUACCCCAGGGUGCAAAAAUCACUUUCUUGGUGCUUUUGAUUGUAAUGGGACUUAGACAUCAAGUCCACAGGUAGAUUUUGCUCACAGCUACAUUUAGAUGUCUAUUUCAGAAUCUUACACAAAAUUCCCCCCUAACUAGAAGCUGUUACUACCGUUCUCACAUCAUGGCAAAGGUGCACCUCCCAUCAACCAGUGUCCCUUAUGUUGCUUGCAAACUCAUUGGCAUAAGGUGCAGUUUUCAGCUCUGUGUUUGCAUGUUAAGUACUGCUUUGUCAUAAG
rnacentral:lncRNA from 1 species